GGUGAAAAGCACCCCGGAAGGGGAGUGAAAUAGAACCUGAAACCGUGUGCUUACAAGUAGUCAGAGCCCGUUAAUGGGUGAUGGCGUGCCUUUUGUAGAAUGAACCGGCGAGUUACGAUUUGAUGCAAGGUUAAGCAGUAAAUGUGGAGCCGUAGCGAAAGCGAGUCUGAAUAGGGCGUUUAGUAUUUGGUCGUAGACCCGAAACCAGGUGAUCUACCCUUGGUCAGGUUGAAGUUCAGGUAACACUGAAUGGAGGACCGAACCGACUUACGUUGAAAAGUGAGCGGAUGAACUGAGGGUAGCGGAGAAAUUCCAAUCGAACCUGGAGAUAGCUGGUUCUCUCCGAAAUAGCUUUAGGGCUAGCCUCAAGUGAUGAUUAUUGGAGGUAGAGCACUGUUUGGACGAGGGGCCCCUCUCGGGUUACCGAAUUCAGACAAACUCCGAAUGCCAAUUAAUUUAACUUGGGAGUCAGAACAUGGGUGAUAAGGUCCGUGUUCGAAAGGGAAACAGCCCAGACCACCAGCUAAGGUCCCAAAAUAUAUGUUAAGUGGAAAAGGAUGUGGCGUUGCCCAGACAACUAGGAUGUUGGCUUAGAAGCAGCCAUCAUUUAAAGAGUGCGUAAUAGCUCACUAGUCGAGUGACACUGCGCCGAAAAUGUACCGGGGCUAAACAUAUUACCGAAGCUGUGGAUUGUCCUUUGGACAAUGGUAGGAGAGCGUUCUAAGGGCGUUGAAGCAUGAUCGUAAGGACAUGUGGAGCGCUUAGAAGUGAGAAUGCCGGUGUGAGUAGCGAAAGACGGGUGAGAAUCCCGUCCACCGAUUGACUAAGGUUUCCAGAGGAAGGCUCGUCCGCUCUGGGUUAGUCGGGUCCUAAGCUGAGGCCGACAGGCGUAGGCGAUGGAUAACAGGUUGAUAUUCCUGUACCACCUAUAAUCGUUUUAAUCGAUGGGGGGACGCAGUAGGAUAG
rnacentral:rRNA from 1 species